rfam:Cajanus cajan Scaffold137323_26, whole genome shotgun sequence.
GAGUCAUGCUUUGAGCACAAAGCGAACUAUUCUUUCGCCUUUUACUAAAGAGUACCGUGUGCUCACAGCUCAAGUGACAUACAUUUAUUUUUGGAAGGUGACUCUUCUAAAUAGGAGUC